UACGUAGGGGCGAGCGUUGUCCGGAAUGAUUGGGCGUAAAGGGCGCGUAGGCGGCUGUGCAAGUCAGUAGUGGAAGCCCAGCUUUUAAGGUUGGAAGUGCUAUUGAAACUGUGCAGCUUGAGUGCAGGAGAGGUUAUCGGAAUUCCCGGUGUAGCGGUGAAAUGCGUAGAGAUCGGGAGGAACACCAGUGGCGAAGGCGGGCGACUGGACUGCAACUGACGCUGAGGCGCGAAAGUGUGGGGAGCAAACAGGAUUAGAUA
rnacentral:rRNA from 1 species